AUUCUGCAACCAGAAACACCGGGAAUGUGCCAUCCAUCACACCUGGGCUCUCUGGGGGCACUGUCCCUGCAGCAGGGAAUUCUGCACAGAAACACCGGGAAUGCCCCAGCCAUCACACCUGGGCUCUCUGGGGGCACUGUCCCUGCAGCAGGGAAUUCUGCACAGAAACACCGGGAAUGUGCCAUCCAUCACACCUGGGCUCUCCUGGGACAGGGACCCGCCCUGCACUGUCCUGCUGUUCCCUAGGGAGCCAGCGGGACAUCCCAGGGAAGUGCUCAGAAGGUGCUCCUGCUCUCCUGCCCAGCUGGGAGAACUGGGAAUGCUGCUCUUGGGAAGGGAAGGCAGUAAUGGACAGAGGUGCAGUGACACCAAGGGGUUAAUGCUGCGUUUCCCUGGAACCCUCUGCAGUGGAAGAGCACAGCCUGCAUGGAGUCAUGGAAUCAGGAAUGGAGCUAGGAAUGGAGCCAGGUAUGAAACCAGGUGUGGAACCAAGUGUGGAACUAGGAAUGGAAUCAGGUGUGGAAUAAGGAAUGGAGCCAAGUAUGGAACCACAUGUGGAACUAGGAAUGGAACCACGUGUGGAACCAGUUUAUCCAGGAAUGAUUCAUUGUUGCUCUUUUCCAUGGUCAGCUGGAACUCAAGCUCACUGAUGAGCCUUUUAAGGCUCUGGAUUUCUUUUUCCUUGUCUCCAUCCUUCUCUGCCACUUUCAUUUGGGCAUCUUGGAGCUUCUUCUCCAGAAUUUCCAUCUCCAUCCUCAAGCUCUUGGUGGCACUGGAUAUUAAACCUGGGAUCUGGGUGAGAUCAGACAGGAAUUAAUCUCCACUCAGUACCUCUAAAUAUGGAGAAUUAAUAGCAGACAAAUGGAGACUUGAGGAAAAAACCAACAAAUUCAAACUUGCAGGUCCUCAGAGAGAAAAAAAGCUCUGAAUUUACAUAAUUCCCUCAGAGGACACCAGAGAGCUGUAAAUUAAUCACCACUCACUGAGAACACAGAGAUUAAUUAGUGUGUUCAAGAUCAAAUAGAGACAUUGAGGUAAAAAAAGGGAAAAUUUAACUUCAAGUUAAAUUUACUGCAAGGCGGUGUUUCCUCAGGGUUUAAAAACCAUGGUUAAAUAUUUGCCAAGUGAACAAAGCCAAACUUAUUUUCAGCUCUAAAUCACAGUGUCCCAGAUUUUAAAUAAUAAUAAAACCUCAUCACAUGCCUUUCAUUUUUCCAGAUCUCUCAGAUUUUCUCAGGAAUUGUACCAAACCUUUUGGAAACUCAGGUUACAGCUCCAGCUCCACUCUGGCCUCUUCCCUGACUUUGAGAAUUGCUUCUUUGUGCCGAGCCUCCCCUUUGGCCAGGUCCAUCUCCAGCUGGGGGACAAGAGGGGUCCUGAUCACUUGUUGGAGGCUCCUUGACUCCACAGACUAAACAAUUAAAGGCAAUACAAAAACCUGAGCCCACUCACACAAACCAUUUCCCAUUUAAUAGUUGAAAUUAAUGAAGCUGAGAUGCAGAACAGGAAAUGAAGAGGAGGCUGCUGUUCCAAGAGAGCACUGGGCACUAAUUGACUCACACGCCCCUCGUUAAUUAAUACUGUGAAAAAAUGAGUGCACCCAUCUCUUCAGGAGGGGUUUCUCCGUGGAAAGGGAGGCUCAGGGAAGGACAGGACCACAGCUGGAGGUGCCAGGCAGUGCCAGGACGUGGCCCUGGGGCUCUGGUGGCAGCUUUGGCCCCUCAGAGGUGGGACUUGAUGACCUUGGGGGACUUUUCCAGCCUCAGUAACCCUGGGGUUCCAUAAAUGGUGUGUUCCAAGGGACUUAUUUCUUAAAUUGCUUCCUGAAAGUAAUUUAAGAAAUUUAAGUAAUUUAAUUUUUUUUUUGUUCCACUAAAACAAUUUCAGGUUUAAAUGUAUUUUAAACAGAAACCUUGGCCCUCUGGUGCUCUGCAGUGCACAAACCAAAGGCAAUGUUGUCACUUUGUCACUUUGCUGAUUUUUUUGGCUGCUGAGCCAAGUUUUGGGGCCUUGCUGUGGGUGCAUUUUAAUGGCUGUGACACCAAAGCUGAAAUUGCUCCCUCUCCCUCCCACCAAUCUUUAUUUUGUUCUCAUGUCAGGUUGAAAACACUCUGAUUGUGGAGCCAGCCUGAUCCCCUUCCCAAAUUAUAUCCUGUGACAGGGAAGUGAAGGGGUUUCCAAAGAAAUGUAACUGAUCCUAAUUGCUACCAGUCCCCAAGUUUUCCUGGGGCUAAAUAAAGCUUUCAGACACUGAAACAAAAAGUACAGUAAUUUCAGUCACCAAUUAUGUGAGGCUUAAAUCAGACAAGUCACAGUUAUUGUUCAACUUUGCUUUUAAAUUUUCCUUCACUGAUGUAUACACUUAUUUUAAUUUCUUAUUCUUUUUAAUAUUUUAAAAUUCUUUUUAAAACAUAAAUAUAUUUUAUUUAUUAUUCUUU